GACGAACGCUGGCGGCGUGCUUAACACAUGCAAGUCGAACGGAAAGGCCCUGCUUUUGUGGGGUGCUCGAGUGGCGAACGGGUGAGUAACACGUGUGUAACCUGCCCUUGACUUUGGGAUAACUUCAGGAAACUGGGGCUAAUACCGGAUAGGAGCUCCUGCUGCAUGGUGGGGGUUGGAAAGUUUCGGCGGUUGGGGAUGGACUCGCGGCUUAUCAGCUUGUUGGUGGGGUAGUGGCUUACCAAGGCUUUGACGGGUAGCCGGCCUGAGAGGGUGACCGGCCACAUUGGGACUGAGAUACGGCCCAGACUCCUACGGGAGACAGCAGUGGGGAAUAUUGCACAAUGGGCGGAAGCCUGAUGCAGCAACGCCGCGUGCGGGAUGACGGCCUUCGGGUUGUAAACCGCUUUCGCCUGUGACGAAGCGUGAGUGACGGUAAUGGGUAAAGAAGCACCGGCUAACUACGUG
rnacentral:rRNA from 1 species